GCUCCCGUGUGCUUCGAUGCCCAGUGUUUAUUAGGGUUUCAUGACACAGGUGUGGUUUGUUGGAUAUUGGCUGCAUGAACGAACUCCUGUCUCCUCCCUCUCCUGGAAAUUGGGCUGGCUCAAAGUCCAGCCCUCUCAUCACAACGUUGGUCUUCCUGGUGAUCAGCUCCGUCCUGAGCCUUCUCAUUUGCAUCUGUUCAGGCACCUACUCAGACGUUCCUGUGUGGCAUCCAUGGGGUCCCCCCAAGAGACCCCCUGCUCCUGCUGGCAGGACCCCUACACUGCUCCCAUCUGGACUCACGGGGAUCCCUUUGAGGAUUUCUCACUGGGAUUUCUGAAAGACGGCCAAGCUUCAAUCCGCAGGUGAGAAGGAGGCCGGCCUCUGCUUCCUGCUCUCGCCCCUCUUCCUGAAGCUCAGCAGUUUAAAAGGAGGAGAAGAGAAAAGGAAGAAAGAGAAAACACAGGUAAACCACCACCAUUUCAGAACAUCACGCCCUAUGCCCCUCCUCCGGUCUCUACUUCGGUGCCAGCCCCUCCUACCCCUAGGGGCGAGUCAGGGUUGUAGCUGAGCUCAGACUCUGAGGAGGGGUUGUGAGUCCCUUGGGGCAGAGUCCGGCCCCCUCCAACCCAGUCCCCAGCACAGGCUUGAACUGAGGGAAUUGCAGAUGCAUGGAUUUAGUAAAGAUUUUUGUAACAGCCAGAAAAAUCUUCAUGAAAGAGACACAGAAACCAUGAGAGACAGAACAAACAAACAAAUAAAGACUCACGA
rnacentral:lncRNA from 1 species